rnacentral:rRNA from 1 species
GUGGGGAAUCUUCCGCAAUGGACGAAAGUCUGACGGAGCGACGCCGCGUGAGUGAAGAAGGCCUUCGGGUCGUAAAGCUCUGUCAUCAGGGACGAACGGCCGGUGGAGUGGAAAGCCACCGGAUUGACGGUACCUGAGAAGGAAGCCACGGCUAACUACGUGCCAGCAGCCGCGGUAAUACGUAGGUGGCGAGCGUUGUCCGGAAUUAUUGGGCGUAAAGCGCGCGCAGGUGGGAUCUUAAGUCUGUUCUGAAAGUUCGGAGCUUAACUCCGUGAUGGGAUGGAAACUGGGAUUCUUGAGUAUCGGAGAGGAAAGCGGAAUUCCCCGUGUAGCGGUGAAAUGCGUAGAUAUGGGGAGGAACACCAGUGGCGAAGGCGGCUUUCUGGACGAUGUCUGACACUGAGGCGCGAAAGCCAGGGGAGCGAACGGGAUUAGAUACCCCGGUAGUCC